rnacentral:rRNA from 1 species
AGCUUGCUACUUUGCUGACGAGCGGCGGACGGGUGAGUAAUGCUUGGGAACAUGCCUUGAGGUGGGGGACAACAGUUGGAAACGACUGCUAAUACCGCAUAAUGUCUACGGACCAAAGGGGGCUUCGGCUCUCGCCUUUAGAUUGGCCCAAGUGGGAUUAGCUAGUUGGUGAGGUAAUGGCUCACCAAGGCGACGAUCCCUAGCUGGUUUGAGAGGAUGAUCAGCCACACUGGGACUGAGACACGGCCCAGACUCCUACGGGAGGCAGCAGUGGGGAAUAUUGCACAAUGGGCGCAAGCCUGAUGCAGCCAUGCCGCGUGUGUGAAGAAGGCCUUCGGGUUGUAAAGCACUUUCAGUCAGGAGGAAAGGUUAACGGUUAAUACCCGUUAGCUGUGACGUUACUGACAGAAGAAGCACCGGCUAACUCCGUGCCAGCAGCCGCGGUAAUACGGAGGGUGCGAGCGUUAAUCGGAAUUACUGGGCGUAAAGCGUACGCAGGCGGUUUGUUAAGCGAGAUGUGAAAGCCCCGGGCUCAACCUGGGAACUGCAUUUCGAACUGGCAAACUAGAGUGUGAUAGAGGGUGGUAGAAUUUCAGGUGUAGCGGUGAAAUGCGUAGAGAUCUGAAGGAAUACCGAUGGCGAAGGCAGCCACCUGGGUCAACACUGACGCUCAUGUACGAAAGCGUGGGGAGCAAACGGGAUUAGAUACCCCGGUAGUCCACGCCGUAAACGAUGUCUACUAGAAGCUCGGAGCCUCGGUUCUGUUUUUCAAAGCUAACGC